AGCAGUGAUGAUGUCAUCCUGGCUCUUUGUACAUUCUGAGGGUAGGGCUGACAACAUGGCUUCCCUCGGGACAGGCCAGUUGGACCAUUGCUUGAGGCUUAAGGGCA
rnacentral:snoRNA from 14 species